GACGAACGCUGGCGGCGUGCUUAACACAUGCAAGUCGAACGGAAAGGCCCUGCUUUUGUGGGGUGCUCGAGUGGCGAACGGGUGAGUAACACGUGAGUAACCUGCCCUUGACUUUGGGAUAACUUCAGGAAACUGGGGCUAAUACCGGAUAGGAGCUCCUGCUGCACGGUGGGGGUUGGAAAGUUUCGGCGGUUGGGGAUGGACUCGCGGCUUAUCAGCUUGUUGGUGGGGUAGUGGCUUACCAAGGCUUUGACGGGUAGCCGGCCUGGGAGGGUGACCGGCCACAUUGGGACUGAGAUACGGCCCAGACUCCUACGGGAGGCAGCAGUGGGGAAUAUUGCACAGUGGGCGGAAGCCUGAUGCAGCAACGCCGCGUGCGGGAUGACGGCCUUCGGGUUGUAAACCGCUUUCGCCUGUGACGAAGCGUGAGUGACGGUAAUGGGUAAAGAAGCACCGGCUAACUACGUG
rnacentral:rRNA from 1 species